ensembl:lncRNA
GAAGUCUCAAACUGAGAAACUCGGAAGUCUCAAACUGAGAAACUCGGAAGUCUCAAAUUGAGAAACUUGGAAGUAUCCAACAGAAACUCAGAAGUCUCAAACUGAGAAACUCGGAAGUAUCCGACUGAGUAACUCGGAAGUAUCAAUAUAAUUCAGAGAGCACAUGAAAGCAGCUUAAAACUGACUGAUGUCAAGUUUGAAUUGCAGCUUGCAGGCCUGUGUGAGUGGAAAGGGCAUGUUGAGUUGUUUGGCUAACUCUCUGAGGCUCCCUACCUCAGGCCUGUGUGAGUGGAAAGGGCAUGUUGGGUUGUUUGGCUAACUCUCUGAGGCUCCCUACCUCAGGCCUGUGUGAGUGGAAAGGGCAUGUUGGGUUGUUUGGCUAACUCUCUGAGGCUCCCUACCCAGGCCUGUGUGAGUGGAAAGGGCAUGUUGGGUUGUUUGGCUAACUCUCUGAGGCUCCCUACCUCAGGCCUGUGUGAGUGGAAAGGGCAUGUUGGGUUGUUUGGCUAACUCUCUGAGGCUCCCUACCUCAGGCCUGUGUGAGUGGAAAGGGCAUGUUGGGUUGUUUGGCUAACUCUCUGAGGCUCCCUACCUCAGGCCUGUAUGAGAAUAUACCAUGUUAACAUUUAAAAGUUGUAAUCCAUCACUACUUAAAGAAGCAUUUUCAUAUACAUCUGGUUGAACCAUAACAACAAGAAAAAUUAAAUCACGUGUCAUAAAAGUACACAAAAUAGCUAAUCAAGUAUAUCAAUAUCUACUAAUUAAAAAAACAAAAUCCAUGAAUACAAUAUACAAAACCCAAACAUAUAUUUUUCAAAACCUGAAAAUCUUCAAGAUACAUUUUUUUUUUUUUUUUUGAAGGCUAUUUCUUCCGCAGGGUGAAGAAAACAUUUACUUGUUCAGAAGUUUUGAAAACAAGUUUAAAAAAAAUACUUCUGAGUAUAAGGGAUCUUUUGCAGUCCAUAAUAUCGAUAGAUUUCAUCAUACAUUAUCAAAACUCACACUGAUAUUGAAAGAAACCCCGGCAAAAAAAUCAAUUCCUUUUCAAGACUGGAGGUAGGUAUUUGUCAAUCGAUUAUAUGUCCAUUUUUUUUAGCAGUUAGUUUGAGGUACAUAAUGUAUAUGAAUAGUACAGAGUUCAGACAAAAAUCAGAGCAAAAACAAACAAACAAUAAUAUCGUGUCGUGUCAUACAAGCACUUGAUCCUUAAUUAAAAUAAAAAAACGUUGAGUAAAUCAGAAAAACAAAUAUAUUCAAGUGAACAGUUUGUCAAACAGAAGGCCCAGUUGAGGAAAGGUACAAGUGGGUGUCUCGUUAGGAUUUAGAUACAAACACUAAUGUUCGUGUGAAAAUAAAGACACCACAGUGCUUCUUCCAUUAGCUGCUUAUGAGUUCUACAUUAGGAAAUAUAUAUAUAUCUUUUUAAACUCCUGAUUUCAGUAAAUGACCUGUCAGACUUACACAGAACAUUACACAGAACAUGUCUGUGAGACACAAGACAACAACUUUUAUAACAAGUUAGCUCGUUGACACACACACACUGACACCCCAUGCAUUGUAGUGUGUAGUAAUACUAUGUAGUACUAUUUAGUACUGUGUGGUACUGUGUACUACUAUUUAGUACUGUGUGGUACUGUGCAGUACUGUGUAGCAGGGCAGUGUGCAUUCCUUGAGCUUGGAGUUUUCAGGUUGUUGCGGUGGAAAUCGGAGGUAGUUUGAAA